rnacentral:rRNA from 1 species
CCCUUAGAUGUUCUGGGCCGCACGCGCGCUACACUGAUGCAUUCAACGAGUCUAAAACCUGCUCUGAUAGGGGUGGGUAAUCUCUUGAAUGUGCAUCGUGAUUGGGAUAGAUGAUUGCAAUUUUUCAUCUUCAACGAGGAAUGCCUAGUAAACGCAAGUCAUCAGCUUGCAUUGAUUACGUCCCUGCCCUUUGUACACACCGCCCGUCGCUCCUACCGAUUGAAUGAUCCGAUGAAUAUCAUGGAUUGAGGAUGCAAGCAGGUUCGCCUGUCUUCAUCUUCGAGAAGUGAAGUAAAUCUUAUCAUUUAGAGGAAGGAGAAGUCGUAACA